CCCUUAGAGUUUGAUCCUGGCUCAGGACGAACGCUGGCGGCGUGCUUAACACAUGCAAGUCGAACGAGGUCCAGUGAUCCUUCGGGUGAGCGAAGACCGAGUGGCGAACGGGUGCGUAACACGUGAGAAACCUGCCCCAGACUUGGGAAUAACAGUCGGAAACGACUGCUAAUACCGAAUACCUUCGUAACGUCGCAUGGCGAAUCGAAGAAAGCUCUUGCGGUUUGGGAGGGUCUCGCGGCCUAUCAGCUAGUUGGUGAGGUAACGGCUCACCAAGGCAUCGACGGGUAGCUGGUCUGAGAGGAUGACCAGCCACACUGGGACUGAGACACGGCCCAGACUCCUACGGGAGGCAGCAGUGGGGAAUCUUGCACAAUGGGCGAAAGCCUGAUGCAGCAACGCCGCGUGCGGGAAGAAGGCCUUAGGGUUGUAAACCGCUUUCAGCAGGGAAGAAAAUGACGGUACCUGCAGAAGAAGGUGCGGCCAACUACGUGCCAGCAGCCGCGGUGACACGUAGGCACCAAGCGUUGUCCGGAUUUAUUGGGCGUAAAGAGCUCGUAGGCGGUUCAGUAAGUCGGGUGUGAAAACUCUGGGCUCAACCCAGAGACGCCACCCGAUACUGCUGUGACUUGAGUACGGU
rnacentral:rRNA from 1 species